AGAAUCAACGCUGGCGGCGUGCCUAACACAUGCAAGUCGAACGAGAAAGUGGAGCAAUCCAUGAGUAAAGUGGCGCACGGGUGAGUAACACGUGACUAACCUACCCUGGAGUGGGGGAUAACUGAGGGAAACCUUAGCUAAUACCGCAUAAUACCCACGGGUCAAAGGAGCAAUUCGCUCGAGGAGGGGGUCGCGGCCGAUUAGUUAGUUGGCGGGGUAAUGGCCCACCAAGACGAUGAUCGGUAUCCGGCCUGAGAGGGCGCACGGACACACUGGAACUGAAACACGGUCCAGACUCCUACGGGAGGCAGCAGUGGGAAUUUUGCGCAAUGGGGGAAACCCUGACGCAGCAACGCCGCGUGGAGGAUGAAGUCCUUCGGGACGUAAACUCCUUUCGAUCGGGACGAUUAUGACGGUACCGGAAGAAGAAGCCCCGGCUAACUUCGCGCCAGCAGCCGC
rnacentral:rRNA from 1 species